rnacentral:lncRNA from 7 species
UUGAACCAAUCACGUGAUUUCCUGGAAAAACCCAUUAUUGAAGAAACGAAACUAACAGAAUUUGGGUUCAGCUCGCAGCUUCUCUGGAUAAGAACCUCCCAUCCCGGCGCAGUGAGCAAUGGCUGCGCAGGGCAGCGUGUUGGACUGCAGCACGCACUGCCAUUCCAAAUACAAGCGAGCCUGCAGGGUCUAUGGGCUGAUAGCUGGGCUGGUGGUUGGGCUGAUGGCCGUGGUGCUGCUAGCUGCAUCCCUGCCCUCCUCUCUGUGCCUGCUGACCACCAAACCAGAGCCAGAGACGGGGCUGGGGACGGGGACAGGAAGAGUGCCCGGUUUGGAGAGGCUGGCACGGCUGCGGGAGGUGCAAGAGCAGCUGCAGAUGCAGGUGGCUGCGUUGGAGCAAGCAUUGGCUGCCACCAACCGGACCCUCACCACGGUGGUGGAUGUCACCAACCGGUCCAUCUCUGAGAUGCACAAGCAAUGGGAUGACUGCAGGAGUCAAUUGGACACAGUGAAGGGCUUCGUCGUGGAGUUGGAGCAGCAGAUCUCCCAGCUGCAGCAGCACAGGGAGAAGCAGGAGGCUGUGGUCAAGCAACUGCAAGAGAACAACAGGGCUCUCCAGGAGGAGGUGGCACAGCAGAAGGAGCAGUUGGAGGAGGUGGAGAGGCUCAGGAGCAGCUUCCAGGAGCAGAUCCAGGAGCUGUCAGCACGGAUCUGGAACAUACGGAGACACAUUUCCAGUGGGAGCACAGAGAUGCCCUCCGGUGCAGCCAUGUUCCUGACCCUCCUCAUCGGAGUGAUCGUUGCAAAGUGGCUGUGCUGAGCACAGUGACACGGACCUGGGUGGCCCCUGGCAGUGUGGGACCAUGGGGACAUCAUGGGGAGACGGUUUGCCAAGUGCUGGCCGAGGGGUGAGAUGGGGACAAGGCGCACUCAGGGGGCGGCGGUGCCACACGGUUGGGUGGAUCUAAACCGAUUUCCAAUAAAACUCCAUGUGAACC